rnacentral:rRNA from 1 species
CCCUAUGGGGUGCAGCAGUAACAGUGUUCGCCGAGCACCAGGUCGGCGCCGGGACGGGCCGCCUCGUCCAGAUCGUCGAUGGUCAGUGCCCGGCCGUCACGUCCCCGGAUCGGCAGACCGAGCGCCUGGUUGAAAUCGCAGUUGUAGAGCUGCCCCUGCCAGUCGACGCUGAUCAGGGUACGGCACAUGAUGGCGCCGGCGGCCUCGGGAUUGAAGCGGGCGGCCAGCAGGUUCAGGUACGCAUCGUAGGCCCCCUUCUUUUCCAGGAAGUCCCGGAAGCGGCCGAUGGGCGCAUUGGUGAUGGUGAAGAGAUUGCUGAAACGGAUGCCGAACCUUUCCAUCAGCUCUUUCCGGUAGGCGUCCUCCAGGCAGCGCUGGGAGC